rnacentral:rRNA from 1 species
GAUGAACGCUGGCGGCGUGCUUAACACAUGCAAGUCGAACGGAAAGGCCAGUGCUUGCACUGGUACUCGAGUGGCGAACGGGUGAGUAACACGUGGGUGAUCUGCCCUGUACUUCGGGAUAAGCUUGGGAAACUGGGUCUAAUACCGGAUAGGACAACUUUUUGGAUAUUGUUGUGGAAAGCUUUUGCGGUAUGGGAUGAGCUCGCGGCCUAUCAGCUUGUUGGUGGGGUAAUGGCCUACCAAGGCGUCGACGGGUAGCCGGCCUGAGAGGGUGUACGGCCACAGUGGGACUGAGAUACGGCCCAGACUCCUACGGGAGGCAGCAGUGGGGAAUAUUGCACAAUGGGCGCAAGCCUGAUGCAGCGACGCCGCGUGGGGGAUGAAGGCCUUCGGGUUGUAUACUCCUUUCGCUAGGGACGAAGCUUUUUUGUGACGGUACCUGGAGAAGAAGCACCGGCUAACUACGUG